AAGACGACGAGGUAGAUAGGUUGGAGGUGGAAGUGCAGCAAUGCAUGGAGCUGACCAAUACUAAUCGGUCGAGGGCUUAUCCUA
rnacentral:rRNA from 1 species